rnacentral:rRNA from 1 species
UCAGAACGAACGCUGGCGGCAGGCUUAACACAUGCAAGUCGAGCGCCCCGCAAGGGGAGCGGCAGACGGGUGAGUAACGCGUGGGAAUCUACCCAUCUCUACGGAACAACUCCGGGAAACUGGAGCUAAUACCGUAUACGUCCUUUUGGAGAAAGAUUUAUCGGAGAUGGAUGAGCCCGCGUUGGAUUAGCUAGUUGGUGGGGUAAUGGCCUACCAAGGCGACGAUCCAUAGCUGGUCUGAGAGGAUGAUCAGCCACACUGGGACUGAGACACGGCCCAGACUCCUACGGGAGGCAGCAGUGGGGAAUAUUGGACAAUGGGCGAAAGCCUGAUCCAGCCAUGCCGCGUGAGUGAUGAAGGCCCUAGGGUUGUAAAGCUCUUUCAACGGUGAAGAUAAUGANC